rnacentral:rRNA from 1 species
CGAAGGUUGGCUAAUCCUGGUCGGACAUCAGGAGGUUAGUGCAAUGGCAUAAGCCAGCUUGACUGCGAGCGUGACGGCGCGAGCAGGUGCGAAAGCAGGUCAUAGUGAUCCGGUGGUUCUGAAUGGAAGGGCCAUCGCUCAACGGAUAAAAGGUACUCCGGGGAUAACAGGCUGAUACCGCCCAAGAGUUCAUAUCGACGGCGGUGUUUGGCACCUCGAUGUCGGCUCAUCACAUCCUGGGGCUGAAGUAGGUCCCAAGGGUAUGGCUGUUCGCCAUUUAAAGUGGUACGCGAGCUGGGUUUAGAACGUCGUGAGACAGUUCGGUCCCUAUCUGCCGUGGGCGCUGGAGAACUGAGGGGGGCUGCUCCUAGUACGAGAGGACCGGAGUGGACGCAUCACUGGUGUUCGGGUUGUCAUGCCAAUGGCACUGCCCGGUAGCUAAAUGCGGAAGAGAUAAGUGCUGAAAGCAUCUAAGCACGAAACUUGCCCCGAGAUGAGUUCUCCCUGAG